rnacentral:lncRNA from 1 species
AGCCCAGAUAGUGGCCUUGGAUGCAGAAAGCCUGUGUGUGUUAGGCCGAGUCUCCUCUCUGCUUCUACCCUGAGUCCACCCUUUGUUAUCCAGGCUUUGGUGUCUGCCAAAGUCAGGAAGAGCAGGAUGAGGGGAGGAGGGAGGCCUGUAUUUGAGGGCAGGGGCUCUGAUUAGGGGUUGCUGCAGCUCCCUAGGGAAGAGCUGUGGUCAUCAGUUCAGAAUCCUAGAAGGAAGGACAGUGAGGAAAAGAGAGAUCUG